rnacentral:rRNA from 1 species
UACGAGGGGUGCAAGUGUUGUUCGGAAUCACUGGGCGUAAAGGGAGCGUAGGCGGGAAUGCAAGUCAGGUGUUUAAUACCGGUGCCUAACAUCGGUGCUGCACUUGAAACUGCAUUUCUUGAAUCUGUCAGAGGUAGAUGGAAUUCUUGGUGGAGCGGUGGAAUGCGUAGAUAUCAAGAGGAACACCAGUGGCGAAAGCGGUCUACUGGGACAAGAUUGACGCUGAGGCUCGAAAGUGUGGGGAGCGAAUAGG